rnacentral:rRNA from 1 species
GAGUUUGAUCCUGGCUCAGGACGAACGCUGGCGGCGUGCCUAACACAUGCAAGUCGAACGGGGUCCUAGGGUAGCUUGCUACCCGACCGACCUAGUGGCGCACGGGUGAGUAACACGUGGGCAAUCUGCCCGGAAGACUGGGAUAACAGCCCGAAAGGGCUGCUAAUACCGGAUACCUUCGCGGAAUCGCAUGAUUCUGUGAAGAAAUGUAUUUCGCUUCCGGAUGAGCCCGCGUCCCAUUAGCUAGUUGGUGAGGUAACGGCUCACCAAGGCAACGAUGGGUAGCUGGUCUGAGAGGACGAUCAGCCACACUGGAACUGAGACACGGUCCAGACUCCUACGGGAGGCAGCAGUGGGGAAUCUUGCGCAAUGGGCGAAAGCCUGACGCAGCAACGCCGUGUGAACGAUGAAGGCCUUAGGGUCGUAAAGUUCUGUCAAGGGGGAAGAAGCUCUGACGGUACCCCUGGAGGAAGCUCCGGCUAACUACGUGCCAGCAGCCGCGGUAAUACGUAGGGAGCGAGCGUUGUCCGGAAUUACUGGGCGUAAAGGGCGUGUAGGCGGCCAAUCAAGUCAGGUGUGAAAAUCCAAGGCUCAACCUUGGACGUGCACUUGAAACUGGUUGACUUGAGUGCAGGAGAGGAAAGUGGAAUUCCCAGUGUAGCGGUGAAAUGCGUAGAUAUUGGGAGGAACACCAGUGGCGAAGGCGACUUUCUGGCCUGUAACUGACGCUGAGGCGCGAAAGCUAGGGGAG